rnacentral:other from 1 species
UAAAACCUAGGGUGUGCGUAUAAUCUGUAUUUUCAACCGACAGUGUACAUCAGGGAGCCUGAGUUUUUUCAUCUAUGUUAAGCCUUUUUAAGGAAAACAGAAAUGAAGAAUAGGGCACCCACCUGCCUGAGAGCGGGGAUGAAAAUUACGGAGAAACGGCAUCACUGGGAAUUGC